rnacentral:rRNA from 1 species
AUUGAACGCUGGCGGCAGGCCUAACACAUGCCAGUCGAGCGGAUGAAGGGAGCUUGCUCCUGGAUUCAGCGGCGGACGGGUGAGUAAUGCCUAGGAAUCUGCCUGGUAGUGGGGGAUAACGUCCGGAAACGGGCGCUAAUACCGCAUACGUCCUGAGGGAGAAAGUGGGGGAUCUUCGGACCUCACGCUAUCAGAUGAGCCUAGGUCGGAUUAGCUAGUUGGUGGGGUAAAGGCCUACCAAGGCGACGAUCCGUAACUGGUCUGAGAGGAUGAUCAGUCACACUGGAACUGAGACACGGUCCAGACUCCUACGGGAGGCAGCAGUGGGAAUAUUGGACAAUGGGCGAAAGCCUGAUCCAGCCAUGCCGCGUGUGUGAAGAAGGUCUUCGGAUUGUAAAGCACUUUAAGUUGGGAGGAAGGGCAGUAAGUUAAUACCUUGCUGUUUUGACGUUACCAACAGAAUAAGCACCGGCUAACUUCGUG